UACGAAGGGGCUAGCGUUGCUCGGAAUCACUGGGCGUAAAGCGCACGUAGGCGGAUUGUUAAGUCAGGGGUGAAAUCCUGGAGCUCAACUCCAGAACUGCCUUGAUACUGGCGAUCUUGAGUCCGGGAGAGGUGAGUGGAACUGCGAGUGUAGAGGUGAAAUUCGUAGAUAUUCGCAAGAACACCAGUGGCGAAGGCGGCUCACUGGCCCGGUACUGACGCUGAGGUGCGAAAGCGUGGGA
rnacentral:rRNA from 1 species